UGCUGGGCGGUGCCAAAUCUGCCCCAUCCCCCUCACCAGAGGUACCAGGACGGGGCAGGAAGUAUAAAGGGAGGACCCUAUUGUUCAGUUGAGUCAGAGCCACAGAAUGAGGCAGACAUCACCAAUCUGCUGCAGAACUCUGUGAAGCGAAAGCAAAACUGCACUGUGCAGCGCCCUGCCCCUGGAGGAGACUGACCCUGGAGAGGAGUUGCCAGGACUGCCAUCAACCAUGUACUCCAAGGAGACGGAGGACCCUUGGGCUAUGGAGCCCUACACCCAGAUUGUGUUGCUAGGAGUAAGACAUGACCCUUCACCCAGUAAAAGCCAGCAAAAGUUAGUUUCCCAAUUCCAUGUCUGGUGAAGGGGCAAUGUGACAGUUACCAGGAGGCAUCCCAUGUAUUUGAAGGAAUACUAAGAGGACACAUGAAGAUGUAAGAGUGGGCAAAUGACAGUGACUAUUCGUUAAGCUGUUAGUUAUACUCAUGAAUGUGUCAAGGCCUUCCACCAGAUGCCAGGGGCCAUCUGGUACCCUCCACACAUUACUGCAAAAGGCUAAAGCAGCUUCCUCAAAGUGGCCUCCUGUUUGUCCUACUCUUUUUAUAUUUUUAGAGCCCACUGUGCUUGCAGUUGUCACAAGGGUAUUGUAGAAGAACUGCCAGUUUAAUGGGGCCUUUCAAAACUAACCAAAGGUCAAGCUUGCCUACCUUGAUGAGGAUUGAACCAUAUUGUUGGGGCUUAAGACCUGUCAUGCCCUAUGAUUUGCUGAGAUGACCACCCAGGAAAGUGCCAGAGUAGAGUAACCUUAAAGGCCAAGGUGAAUGUGGAAGAUGGUGUGUUGUUCUUGGGCCACCAUGACAUCCAGAAAGGUCAACACCCCUACUUUCCAAGGCUAGUCCUAUGAACAGACAACUUCAGGCCACAUGCAUCACCCCACCUCAGAGCCCAGAAGACCCCACCAAAGUGCGGUACUGACCAGAAAUGAUAUUACUUCGUCCCCUAAGCUGCAGCCCUGACUCUGAUGACAAGUCCAAAGACCAUGGAAGCCAUGGAGUUUGACCCUUUUUUCUUUACCUUAAAGUAUCUUUUUUUCUCUUUCGAGAGAGGGAGACAUCCCUUAUAAUCUUUUUUUCUAAUUCUUUUGGGGUGUGAACACAAAUGAAUGCAUUUGAAUCCUAGCACAUGCAUAUAAAGACACAGUAAUAAUUCCCUAAACUUAAAAUCCUAAGCAAGUCCUGCUUUUAAAAUCAUCUGAGUGUAUUCCUGCUUUAAGGAGAAGCAUCAGUGAGACAAAGCUAUACUUUAUAAGAAGAAGUGAAAGCAAAAGCUGAUGGCAGUGUGGCCUUAAUGGCUAGGGCACAGAAGACCUCUGUUCUAUUCCUAGCUCUGCCAGAAGUGUGUUGGGAGACCUGGGGCAAGAAACUUGCACCUCUCUGAGCCUAUCUGUAAAAUGGGGGAAACGAUAUUAACCUCCUUUGCAAAGUGCUUUGAGCUCUACUGAUAAGUACUAACUAAGCAAUAGGUGUUAUUACUGAAUCAAAAGUCAUAUUUAGGACAGGGGAGCAAACAGGAUUGUCACUAAACAUAUGGUAACUUUAGGAGGAAUCUAAACUUACUUCAGGGACUGAGAGGGAAACUAUUUUGGUUUUGAUUCUAAAACGUUCAAUCAGUUCAGCUGAGUUCCUUGCCAUCGGCAAGGACCUGUAAUUGGGAUUUGGAAAUAAAUGGACGCCUACCUCCUUCAAUUCUUGGGAUUAGGGGGUGUACAAUCAGACCUUUCCUAACAAGGGGCCAACUCGGCUCCAGAGAUUUCUCCUCCACACACUCCAUCUUCCAGCCCCAAGUUCUCCCCCUGCUGCUCCCCUAUAUCCAGUCCUGAGCUGUCUCAUGCUGACUCUGCAUUCAGGUCCACAUACACUCGCCUCCUGCUGCCCCACAUCCAGGCCUGCACUCUUCCCCCCACACUUCCCUGCACCCAGUCCUGCAGACUCCCUGCCCCAAGCUCUUACUCAGAGAGGCGGUCAGACUGAAAAGAACCAUCCACACUAGAGACCAGGCAGUUCUGGGUGCAGCAGACCCAUCCUACUUCUACAUCUCUGCUUCCUCAGGAAGCAUCAAAAGCCUGGAUUCAGUCGUCCCAGUCUCCUGGGAGUUCCUAGUGCCCCCUGCUAUGUUUCUCCGUGGGGGCAGGUAGUGCUUGGUGCCCACGUGUGCUGGAAUGACUGCAAAGAUGGAGGGCCAAGCAGGUGCACAGGGUUACCCAGCUGCUCAAAUUUGGCCCAGCCACCACUGCGUCAGGAGAGGACAGAGGGGCAGUUGGGCCAAAAUUCUAGCUCUGGUCAGGGCGAGGGCUGCACCACACUUGUGAAAAUUUAUUCUCUGCUGUAUUAACUUUAUGAUUUGAUUAUUGGCUGUGUUAAUCUGAUUUCCAUUGUAAAUCUGUUGAUUUGAUUUCAGUUGUAGCCUUAAUUUAAUAAUUGUACUGUCUAAUUCUUAGAUAAUUGAGUAAAAGUUUAUAGUAGUUAUCCACAGCAAUAAGCUUGUUUGAUCUGAAGUUUGCUUGUUUAUUAACUUUUAAUAAAAACCAUAAAAGUA